AUUGAACGCUGGCGGCAGGCCUAACACAUGCAAGUCGAACGAGUGGCGGACGGGUGAGUAAUGUAUGGGCAACUGCCUGAUGGAGGGGGAUAACUACUGGAAACGGUAGCUAAUACCGCAUACCAUCAGAUGUUCCCAGAUGGGAUUAGCUUGUAGGUGGGGUAACGGCUCACCUAGGCGACGAUCCCUAGCUGGUCUGAGAGGAUGAUCAGCCACACUGGGACUGAGACACGGUCCAGACUCCUACGGGAGGCAGCAGUGGGGAAGAUUGCACAAUGGGCGCAAGCCUGAUGCAGCCAUGCCGCGUGUAUGAAGAAGGCCUUCGGGUUGUAAAGUACUUUCAGUGGGGAGGCGUUACCCACAGAAGAAGCACCGGCUAACUCCGUGCCAGCAGCCGCGGUAAUAC
rnacentral:rRNA from 1 species